CGCACCUUUGUUCGGCACGGCGACGACGGCGAGCACUGCACGGUAGCGGUGCCCACCAGCUCGUCUCGCUGCAGGCGGACUCUCGUUGUGGUGCUCGCGGGCGGCGCUUGCUGGCGCAACGGCCGUCCAGUCAGGGUGCAUGGAAGGUUUGUGAGAUGUGGAUGAAUUUGUGGGUGGGUCGAGGAAUCUGUGGGUCGGAGUUGGAGUCAAGGUGGAGCUUAUCAUGUGGAUUUGGUGGAGCCACUUAUUGUGAAGGCUGGAGCAGUCAGGGAGAUCUAUGACAGUGUGAAAGAAGAAGCCAAGAUCGUCCCUGCUGAUAUGGCCAGCAGCAAGCAGCAAGCCUGUCAGUUUCUUGAUGCUACUAUGUCUCUUGUUUGCGUCUGCAAGUUCAGCUGGGUGACUACAUUUUCCUGCAUAGCAGUGAGAUAAUCUGUAAUUUUGCUCGUUUCAGACUUUCAGUGUCCUACCAGCUGCAUCAAGUCAAAGUUUGUUCAUCAUGCAAGCUCAUUUGGCUACAAGAGGAUGCUGCCAUUUCUCAUGGAGAACGGUGGCCAAGUUCAAAAAUUGUCUAAAUGCCAUCAAAUUGCUACUCAGAUACGUACAUACAAGUAUCCCACUUGAUUCCCUCCCUGUAUGUUUGAAUGCAUUCAUCAGUUCGUCAGACAUUUGCCUGUGUAUGUGCAAAUGCAAAAAUGCAAUACAUAUUCACGGUGCCG
rnacentral:rRNA from 1 species